CAGUGCUUCAUCUUCGACGCAGCCGGGGCGCUGCUGACCGGGGACUCGGAGGGGAACAUCCUCACCUGGACCCGCACGCCGGGCAAGGGGGGCAAAGACAUGUACCAGAUCGGGCAGCAGACGCGGGCCCACGAGGGCAGCGUGUUCGCGCUCUGCCGCCGCCGCGACGGGACCGUGCUGAGCGGGGGCGGGAAGGACCGCAGGGUGCUCUGCUGGAGCCCCUCGCUGGAGCUGCUGCACGAGGUCGAGCUCCCCGAGAGCUUUGG